ensembl:lncRNA
CCAGGCUCGCUCACAGCCCUGAUAGGCUACUUUGUUGCAGUGAGCCCUAAGCACACGCUAAUCCGUGAUCGUUAAUCCUCUGCAGACAGAACGGUGCUUGCUGUGGACUGUGCCAAAGUGGCUAUUUACGCGCAAUUAUCGCUACAAACUCGCUACAGUGGGUGUUUGCAUACAUGCACUGCACGUCUGGGUGACCUGCCUGUCUCUGCCCCCCUCUCCCCCAUCCACCGCCUGUCCAUUGGGCUCCGUGAUACUUCAUGGUGUUUGUGCCAUCUAGGGUUAUCCGCCGCUCCAUUGCAGUCUUUCUGGCGCAGAUUUCGCGUCUCGCCAUCUGCUCACUCUUGGACUAACUAAUAACUUCCGAAUCACUGAAAACAAACAAGAAAGUUUUCUUCUGGACUUACGGCCUUUACUUCGUUUUAAAAGGAGACAUUCUUUCUGCUUGGAUAAGUGUUUAGGAACAAAAGAGAAGCAACCGAUUCCAAGGACGUGAACACUAGUAAUUACUGCACCGCGGGGGGAAAAAAUAGACAAACGCCUAUGCCAUGUAGCUGCACUCUCACAUGGAAAUAUGCAGACGAGCCCACACAGCAGCGAGCUAGUUAUUUUUACUUAAAGGGAAAAACUACAAAAAAUGCUGUGAAGCUCUGUGUCGCAGCUUGGCUCCCGGCAAAAGCGCAGGUUUUUCCAGAGCAUCUGCUGGUGGGGGGAAAAAUUGUCAGGAGCGAGAGAAGAAGCGAUAUGCGGCUGGUCGGGCAGUUGCUUUUGCAGUUCCUCUUCUGGAAUUAGUGCAUGAAUGGGAAGGGAGCGGCUUUAGACUCGAAGCAGGAAAAAAAAGAGUGUACCGUUUAAAGCUCGCGGCGGCACAUAAUGGAUACUUUCCUGCCCUUAAAGUUGCGGGGACGGAGUACGAACUCCGUGUCCGGAGGUGGAACCUGUUCCGCGGCCGCUGAAGUCUUUUCAGCACCACGGACAGCGCAGUCAAACUGCGCCCAGAGGGAGCGUUUCCUUUCCACAGAGGGAUUUUUACUGAUAUUUUAUCGACAUCGAUGGCUGCGCCCCAACCCAGACUGUCCCCACCAUGGAGAAUUUCUUUCCAGCACACAGAGUGAGGAAGUUUCUGUAAAAAGAAAAUAAUAAUAAUAAAAUAAAACAAAAGGAAAUCAUCUACUGUAGAGACCCAACAGCCUUUACUCAGAAAACAACAACAAAAACAAGCAAUAUUCUGAUGCAAAAUGACUCAUUGACAGGUGCCACACCCUGUUUAUUCCCAGAGCCACGUAGGCCUAAUUUAUUACAGUCCAUCUCAUUGUCCAAAUGUGCAAUGUGUCUGAAUGCUUAUGUAGGACUAAUAUGACCAUUUUUCAGUCAUUGCACUGUCCAGGUGCUUGUGUUUAGAUAAAGAGAAUUUGGAAAAGCUAUCUAUUAUGAUUGUUUAUUUAGUAUUGGUGGUGGCAUAGAGGCGAUGUUUGGACAUCAAAUUGUUCUGAAAAUGGAUGGUUAUGAAAAUCACUAUCUCACAAUGUAAUCAUUGAAUUAUUUAAAAAAUAAAUAAAUAAAAAAUCAAGAUUGCUCUGGUGAAGAGAGAGCCUUUCUUACAAAAAAGAAAGAAAGAAAAUCAAAAGAAAUCCCUGUGCAUACUUGAAAUAAAUCCUAAAUAAUAGGCAGAAGCUAUUAUUUCAUUUGAUAUCUAAGUCAUAACUCUUUAUAAACCAAAAACCUAUGAAGGCGCAUAUUAUUCACUUGAAGUCUGAGUCUGUUUGGCUGAUAUACCCCUGGACUUGCUCACCAUCAUUCACUGGCUCUCAAGAGAAAUGUCUGUCUCAAUGCUAUGUUUGCUAUUCUCUAUUGAGGUCAUUGAACAAGUGCCCUCAUUUAUGUUGUCAUAGUGUUUUCAUUGUCAUUUGGUACUUUAUACUAAAUGACAAUGAAAAAACAAAACAACAACAAAUAAACAACCUUCUCUAUGCCUUGUCAAAGUUACUGUACAAUGACACUGAAAACAGAAAUUCACAUUCUUUAUGUGUGUGGAUUAAUAAUCAUGGUUAAAUCAGUUUGCACUGACAGUAACAAUAAACAAAGAGGAAUAGAUUCUGAUUUAAACAGUGGUAGAUUCUAAUUCAGGAAUAAAUUAUCUACUGCAAACCAAGGCCCGCCCACUUUAAGGAACAGAAAACACUCAUAUGAUGCUCUAACCCUGAAUGCAUCUGUGAGUGAAUGGCUCUACUCAGCCUCAGCAGUUACACACUUUCUCAUGUGGCUCGUGAAGAAUGACGUCAUUACAGGAAUUGUGAUGUCACUAGUUCUUUUUUUGGUUUAGACUGGGUGUGGUGAGUGUGUAGUGUUGAGCAACUGUGUUACAGAAGAGGGCCCGGCGUUUGAA